AUUUAUAUAGUAUACAAAGUAUUUUUGACUUCCAAUCAAAAGGUCUAAAUUUUAGUAUAAAUA
rnacentral:tRNA from 1 species